ensembl:lncRNA
UAGAACACUGCAGCUUUAUUGAUUGAAACAACCGCGUCCGCAACUAGAGGUUACAUUUGGGGGUGGGGCUGGGGCAUGGGGUGAACAGGGAACAAAAUGGGGGCAGAGGCUGGGGUGGAGACAGAGAGCAAGGCAAAGGGGUGAGGACGGGGUCGUGUGACUGAAACAACCCCGCUCCAUUCCACCCGUGAAUGAGGGUCUCCAGUUGUGCUUUUACCGUGGUGGUGGGGGUGGGCCUGGGCACGGAGGGGCUGGCUUUCUCCCGAGUCCUUGAGGCCUCAGGGCUGGGGCAGUCCCCUCCUUCUCCUGGGCUUUCUCUUGGGUUGGGGAUAAAGGCCUUGGUGAGCUGUCUGCCCUGGGGCAGGAAGGGUGCUCAGAGGCCACCAGGGCAGACGGGCCAGCAGAGUUGGACUGAGAUGAUGAUUACAUGGGUGGCUGGGGGUAGGGGGCGUGCCAGGAGGCACAGCAUUCCCAGGGGGGCCCCUUGGAAAUGAAGGCAGGAAAUAGGAGGAGAGGGGGUGGUGGGGGGCAAGGGCCAUCUUUCUGGACCUCAGCUUUCUCACCUGUUCAGUGGGGGCACUGGAUUAAGUGGCUCCUAAGGUCCCUUCCAGCUCUAAGGGUCAAGGGAUCCCCAGGAAAAGUGGGAUCCUUCUGCCCCAACACACACCCUCACGCAUACACUCUUACAUCCCCUCUCUCUCUCACACACACAUACAUCCUCUCGUAGGGGUACACAGCAGCACUGAGACAACAGAGAGGGGUACGAGCCUGCCUUUGGAAUUGAGGCGGGCUUCCCUGAGCCCAGAAACUCAAGUGGUGACUCUCCAGGGCAGACUCGGCCAUCCCAUUCCUGAAGACAGACCCUGGAAGUACCCCCUCUCCCCCUUGAGCUGUCCAGAGAAGAAAACACAAGGAUUAUCCUUUCUCCCCCAGGCUUCCCCGAUCCUUAGGGGGAACGUCAACAGGACGAGGACACCAGGGCACACGGACCUUCAUUCCCAGCCCAGGUUCACGUGAGGACAGAGAAGGGAGACAGAGCCCCUUUAUGUGGGAGCCUGGGCGGGGCCGGGGGGGGAUGGGGGGCAGGCAGCAGCUAUAGCCAGUGUGGGCAGGGGUGGUGGCAGCCUCUGUGUGGCAGCCAGGCCUGACCUGGGGCAGGAGAGGCUGUGGCCUGGGAUGUGAGGCCUGAAUUAGGGCAGGGAGGCAGUCCUUUUCCCAGUGCAGGGCCCAGUAACAGCUGUAACAUCUGCAGCAGCACCCAGAGACAGGGCUGUCUGACCAAGUUCCUCCUGGCUGCCUGGCAGGGCAGCGGCCACAGGUGUGACAGCCCCAGGGCUGCGGUGCCUGGCUUCUAAGGCUGGCUCCACCUCAGCUGGCUAUGUGAGCUGGGCCAAGUCCUCCCCACCUGCCCUUGGCUUCACUGUCAUUUGUCCCGUGAGGAGUUUGGGCCCCUGAGGCCCUUCCCAGCACUGAUGGCCUGAGCCUGGGGCUGUCACUGAGCACAGAGGGGAAAGUGAAUGAGAAAGAGGAGUCAGGCGUCCCAGAGAGAGCAGAGGCGGAUGUCGUGUCCCAGCAGGACGGGGCUUGGUCAGCAGGCUUAGC